UCAAGAGUGUAAACAGCGCCAUUUCUUCCACCAUCCCAAACAGUCCCAAGCGCUGAAGGAACUGGUGGGAAUUUCACCACCCCUAACCAGCAACCGGCGUUUAUUUUUGGAAUAGAUGCUGGUACCGUGAGAAACCCAAAGCAUAGAGGAGGGAAGAUGGUCACCUGUAUCGCACCACCGGAAGUCAGUACCCAAACACAAAAUCCAACAUGCAACCGCGGGGAGGAAGGCUGGAUGCGAAACAACCAUCUCGCACAGAGGUCCGAAGGACAGGCCUGAGCUACAGUGAAAGACCGUGUUCUCCUGAAGAGGCUAUUUUGGAAGAAUGUUGAUCAGAUUGUUGAAUGCCAAAAGAGGGGAAAAGGGAGCUGAUGCGCACCAGUUCCUGGGGAAGACUGAAAACUCUAACCCUCGAAACACCCGUGGACCAUGCCCCUUCACUUUUUGCUUUUAAUGGUAACAUUUUAACAUUCCUCUGGGAAUUGCAUCAACUGGGCAAAAUUCAAGAAUCACAGUUUAUCCUCUGAAACUAUACCUGGUGGAAAAAAACAGUUGUUUAUAAACUACAGAAGUUGCCAAUUUUCAAAUUAGGUCUGA